UCGGGAUAAGCCUGGGAAACUGGGUCUAAUACCGGAUAGGACGAUGGUUUGGAUGCCAUUGUGGAAAGUUUUUCGGUGUGGGAUGAGCUCGCGGCCUAUCAGCUUGUUGGUGGGGUAAUGGCCUACCAAGGCGUCGACGGGUAGCCGGCCUGAGAGGGUGUACGGCCACAUUUGGACUGAGAUACGUCCCAG
rnacentral:rRNA from 1 species